rnacentral:rRNA from 1 species
ACUCAAAUGAAUUGACGGGGGCCCGCACAAGCGGCGGAGCAUGUGGCUUAAUUCGAUGCAACGCGAAGAACCUUACCUGGGUUUGACAUGCAAGGAAAUCUCGUAGAGAUACGGGGUCCGCAAGGGCUUUGCACAGGUGGUGCAUGGCUGUCGUCAGCUCGUGUCGUGAGAUGUUGGGUUAAGUCCCGCAACGAGCGCAACCCUCGUUCUAUGUUGCCAGCACAUAAUGGUGGGGACUCAUAGGAGACUGCCGGGGUCAACUCGGAGGAAGGUGGGGAUGACGUCAAGUCAUCAUGCCCCUUAUAUCCAGGGCUGCACACAUGCUACAAUGGCCGGUACAAAGGGCUGCGAUACCGCAAGGUGGAGCGAAUCCCAUAAAGCCGGUCUCAGUUCGGAUUGGGGUCUGCAACUCGACCCCAUGAAGUCGGAGUCGCUAGUAAUCGCAGAUCAGCAACGCUGCGGUGAAUACGUUCCCGGGCCUUGCACACACCGCCCGU